GCUGGGCGUGGUGGCGCACGCCUGUAAUCCCAGCUACUGGGGAGGCUGAGGCAGGAGAAUCUCUUGAACCCGGGAGGCGGAGGCUGCAGUGAGCCGAGAUCGCGCUGCUGCACUUUGGCCUGGGUAACAGACUGAGACUCUGUCUCAA
rnacentral:SRP_RNA from 1 species